GUAGCUCAGCUGGUUAGAGCGCACGCUUCAUAAGCGUGAGGUCGAGUGUUCAAGUCACUCC
rnacentral:tRNA from 1 species